GCGAGAAGCCCUGUAGGACCGCUGCCUCCCGUCUGCUCGCCCGACCACAACCCUGCCCUCUGUUUAACCCCCCUCGGCAUCACUCCGAGGGGAGGCGACCAGCUAAGGGACCAAAGCCCAGGAAAAUACUCCCCCCCCCCCCCCCCCCUCCUCGCCUCAAAGCCCGGGCUCUCCCUCCGUGCCCCAGUCCGGCGGCCGGGGCUACCGGGCGGGCUGCCCCUCUUUCCCUGUUGCACUACUGUCACGGUCGCAGCGAGCAGUGCAAUAAUGAAAGGGCGUCAGUGCGCCGGGGAGCGGCGAGAGCCGGGCCCAGCCGGUGUAACAGCGGGCGGGGAAGAGACGGGCCGUCGGGCCGGGCCCCCAGGAGCCACUCGAGCGGGGCAGGGGUCGCCGCGCUGCUCGCUCUAUCGGAACGCGCAGGGCGAAGGGAGCGGGCCGGCCUCGGCCAUCCGCCUAAAUAAAGUGCCUUCCCACGUUCCCGUCGCUGCCUUUUCUUCCGGGCGGGUUUUCUUGCAGGUCUCCAGCCCCUCCUGCCUCCCCAGCGGCGGCCCCUCGACGGUUUUUUGUCGGGCCGUCCAGCGUGCUAAUAGCCCGCUUGUUCUUUGCGGGAAGAGGGUGAAAACGGAAAAUGAGUGUCUUCCUUAGCCGAGCAGACUGGGAAACAGGCUCGAGGCGUGCCCUAGUGCUGGGUUCAGCAGUGGGACUGGGGGGGAGCACGGGGCAACAGAGGAAUGGUUUACAAUAACGGACAUCAGACCGGCAGUGCGGCCGGGAGCUGUGCUGGGAAGGCCAGGAAAUAGCCCUUUGAUUAUUAGUGGCCAUGGUGAAAUGGAUACUUCUAUAAAUGAAGGCUGGGGAGGGGUAUUUCCUUUAGUGAAGGACCUUUCCACUCUGGCCUCUUGAACCUGCAUUUCUCGACCCUGUUUCUGCUUCAUCAUGAGUUUUUGCAGAGGAAGGUGAGUGCAGAAAGCAAACCAGCUGGAAAAGAGGAAUGCAAUCUAAUCCUGAUGAGAAGGCUUUUCCAGUCUAUGCACAAUUUCCUAUUCCCGUUGGAUUCUCUCUUUCUUCCAUCUCUCACGUGCACAAGCAGAUACAGAAGCUGAAUCCUUCCCUGCAGUCUCUCUCCCAGGGAAAAGACAGCCCCUUCCCAGCUUCACCUCCAGGCUUUGCGCACACAAAAUGGCUGCAGCCUGUGGGUGGGCAUGGAGAGCUCAGGAAGCUGCUUUUCUUUUUCCCGCUCUGCCUGCCCAGGAAGCCCUUCUGCUUUCCUUUUCUGUGGCAUUUUGCUCUUGCAUAGCUCUGUGCAAAUCCAAGGGGGUCUCCAACGUGUGAGCUAUGCAUGGAAUGGGAGCUGGGGAGGGAAAUGGACAGUUUGCAUGAGAAGGGGAUCAUUCGGGCCCCAGUGUUUAUUUUUUUGCUGACCUUCUGGGGAUAUGGUCAGUGAGAGCUGUGACAGCUGCUGGAAGCGGCAGGGGCUUUGAAGAUUGUGAAGGUUGUGACCUCGAGGCCCCUUUCCUCUCUCUGUCCCAGGAGCUGCUGAGUCAAUCAUGGAAAAGGGGAGGUGAAAUGGGGGCUGCUCUUUAGCCAUUUUUCAAUUGGUGAAUGAAACAGGAAAGGACAAAUGCAAGAAGAAAAAAAGAGCGAUUACUUCCACUUUGGUGCAUUACUGAGAAGGAGGGACAUCUCUUUGGCUAAAGAUUAUAACAAUAAUGGGAAACCACUGUGCUCCUGAGAUCCAGCACCUUGAAUAAAGGAUUUGACUGGGCAAGGAGCUGAUGGCAGAUAAAUAACAAUGAAUUAGUGGGAAGCCUAUAAACGCUAUUUGGCUAAAAGUAAGAGGAAAUCCACUUCUUAAUUUUCACCUGAUUCCAUCUGUAGACAUGUAUCACUAUCUUCCACUAUCUCCAUGACCUCACACUAACACAUCUUCACCUUUGUUGAGCUUAGCUGAACCCCAUGGCUGAGGCUGUUAUGAAGCCACUGAGAAGGACUGCCCUGAAGAUACCAAAGUAAAAGGACAGAGUACAUUGUGAGUGCGUGCUUUCAAACAGCACAGGCUUGCUUGGCAAUUCACACUCUGGGCAGCCCACGAGAGGGCUCUCACUCAGUCCCAGAGACCUCUAAGCCCAGAAAAUGGGGUUUAAGUCUUUUUCACUUUCUAGAUAACAUGAUCCUAUGGAUCCGGCCUUUUAAAAUAGUAAUCAGAACAGCAAACAGAGUGCCUGGCUUUAGUUGACCAAUACACAACAGAGGCAAAGAAGGCAAACAGCGGGCUUUUCAGUUAGUUUACACAGGGGGCACUUAAAUACUGUAUUGGUUACAUAAUACCAUCUAGGGGUUGGGGUUUUACACAUACUUCUAUUAAAUAUAUCUGUGACAUUUGUUUUAAAGCGAUCAACAUAAAUCCAGCUUUAAGAGGAAAACUCUUGUGAUUAGACCUAAUAACACCAGGUAGCUCAUAAUAUAUUUACUGGAAACCAAUGCACAAUAGAUUUCCGACCCCACCCCAGUCCCCAACUGUUGGAAAGCCUCGUGCUCAUUCUCCUGCAGUGGAGGGUGUCACUCUGCCUGUAGAAGGGCUGUCAUAGACAGCCACUUCCCUGCAAAAAGCAAAGGCUGCUGGUUUUUAGGACUCUAUCCUGCUACUGGUUACACAUCCAGCCCUCAAGAUUCAUCCAACACAAACCAAAGACACAAUAUGGUCUGGCAAUUAUGGCAAAGUGCUAAGCAAGAAGGCAAGGGAUACUUUAGUAAUAACACUUAAAAAAUCCUAGAGCCUUCUUUGAUUAGGAAAAACAAACAAACAAAAAACAAUAAAAGCAAACAAACAAAAAAAACAACCAACUGCAAUUCCUUGUUAUCUUCUGAGAAUCCCACUCACAUGGGUACCUGAAAGCAUAUUCUCUUCCCAAUAAGUCUUCUAGCAAGCAUCCUGUUGCCAUCCAAAGAGAGUAGCAGGUGGUCAAACUGCUCCAUUGGAGGCUUGACAAUGGCAUUAGCCACCCAGCUUUUCAGCUAAAGCCUCACUCAGUCAGCACACAACUCCUCAGACUCCAUCUAAACCCUUCCUCAGAACAGUGAGCUUCCCCUGCAAGGCCUGGAUCUAGUACCUCCACAUCCUUACAGAGACCCACUGCUCAAAAGUCAAUGGAUGGGAAGAAGCAUCUCAAACUUCCACAGCUUUAGAAUCGUGCUCUUCUCUUUAACGUGUUGUCACCAGGAGCUCCAUGGGCAGAGAUCUCUGCCAUAAGAAGCUAGCAGAACAGCAGGUAGGUGGCUGAUUGAGAAUGGAAGUUCUUUACUGGCAGAGCAAAAUCAUUCACGUGGCACUGCACAGAACUAGGUACACUGCCAGUGCUCAAACACCAGUUUGGUAAAAUCCUGCUUACUCACCUUGGAGGUGAUGUGCUUUGUAUUGUAAACCUUAGGUCUUGUAAACCUCCCUUGGUCUUGUAAACAUCCUUAGACCCACUGAAUGAUCAAAUUACAAUGAUAAUAAUAUACCAGUAAUAAAGCAACUAUUUUAAGGAAUCACCCUGCUACAACAACGUCAGACCUCUUCUUUGCCUUUUUCAAACACUUCUCUGCUGGGAAGCAACACAUUUGCCAGGAGCUGCUACAUCCUUACCAGCACUUCACCCCAUUAAAAUCAGUAGGGAAUUACACUUUGCACAAAAGCCUCCAUCACACUAUACCAGAAGAGAAACUUUGUUUUCUUCCUCUGCCAUGAAUUUCCAUCACUUUUCAGGAUAAGUUAAGGGUGAUAGCAGAAAGCCUGCUGCUUGGUUUUCGUUUUACAGAGUUAGAUCUUAAACACACAUCUAAAUUAGUAACAACAAAAUCAACAAAACAAACCCACUGCCUCAAAUGAUCUCUGCUCUGAGGGAAAAAAAAAAGAAAGGAAGGAAAGGAAGGAAAGGAAGGAAAGGAAGGAAAGGAAGGAAAGGAAGGAAAGGAAGGAAACCUCCAGACCUGAAGAAAACACAGAUCUAUCAACAGCUCCGGAGAGGUACAGGAGGCCACUUCCAUGUGCAAGCUGUUACAGAUGCUGAGCACUAGCAAAAUGAAAGAUUCCUCACGGCCAGCCCUGUAGCCCUCAGUAUUAAGUGACUCAUUUGGAGGUAUUUAAAGUAGCAUUUGGAGCAAGCUGAAGAGCAGUUUUGCCGUUUCCCUGUUCAAUCUUUGGCCACAUUCUCUGAUCAAAAUCGAUUCCAUCUCCUUUCCCUCUUCACACAAAAACAUCCUCCCCCACUAUUCCUACUGUGAGGUGAACACUUACAAAAGAACAACGAAUCAAAGAAAAUUCACCAAGCUAGUACAAAGACACUGAAAAAGCAAGAGAGCUUUUAAACUGGGACAGAGCAGGGGGAAUAAUAUUUAAAUCGGGAAAAGUGAAGCCGCACUGUUUUGCAUUUGCAUCCCGUGUAAGAGAGAGAACGUGGUGACGCUUUAAAGCCUCGACCAGCGGAAUGGCACUGGAGCAAGAGCACACUUCACAAGCGGGUCACAGCCAGCGGGCUCCCGGCGGCACGAGAAGCUGCCUGUGCCUGCCUGGGGCAGCGCAUCCCAGGGAAAAGGACAGCUCUGCCCGGGCUCCGCCGGCACGGGCAGCUCUCGAGCGGCUGGACAGGGCAGAGCCGAGUCGCGUUGCCGCUGCCGAUAAGAACGGUCUCGGUGCGGAACAGCGCAUCGCAAGGCGACCGAGCCCGACAGCUACCACCGAGGGAAACCGGGCCCCGCAAAGCGACUGCUUGGGGAUUUCGGAGGGACCUCGCUCUCGAAAGAACACCGCUGACUUCCUGCCCCGCCGUUUUGUCGGCGCGGCUCCGUCCCGGGGGAAGGCGGCCGAGCUUCACCCGCCGAGUCGGAGGGAGCAUCGGGCUGCUUUCUCCCACCGCAGGAAGGUGCGCUCCGCUCAGCACCACCGGGCGUCCGUGGGAAAAUAUCCAGCGGCCCUCGUAGGGGUGGAAGGCUAAGGGUGGUGUAAAGGGGACACCGACUGAAACCAAUCCUCAGAACAUUUUGGUUAACUCACGGGCAUGCAAUAAAAUAGGUGGGAAAAGAGAAGAGGACCUUAGCAGGAGAGGCUGCUCAGUAAUGGUUGCUCAGCCUAGCCACUCAUACACUUCCGACCAUUCCUGCUUAGAAUAUCCCUGAAAUCCAAGGACAUCCUUCUCUGGCUCUGCUCCACUGACUCUUAAACCGACCGAACGUCCUGUGAGAUCAGCACGGAGGGAGCCCACUAUAGCUCCUCCCGUAUCACCGGGAGAUCCCACCACUACCUUCUGCGAAGCCCUGGGGGGCUCCCAGCCUGAGUGGGUCAGUCCUGGAGGAGGAUGGGUGGGGGAUUCCUGCCAGCCCACAGAUCCAGGUAAGACAUGCAGCCCUCCCCUUCGGCUGUGGAUCCCACCAGCAGCCGGGCCAGGGCCAUUGGAGCUGCUGCCUUCGAGGGAAAGUAUAGCCGUCAUCAUUUUAAUGUGCUUUGAGCAGGCCUAGGGGCAGCUCUGAGGUGCAAGGAUAGUUUGUGAAGCCAGGCGUUUGGCCAGGCAGCCCACCCUUCUUGUGCCCGGCCUGAGUCACAGCAUAGCACUUAAGGGCAAGGCAAAGAAAAUCUGUAAUUCCAGGUGGGAAAAAGGUAUACCAACACGUUUCUUUGGAUCACUCAAUUCUGUCCUAUUCACCAUCCCCAGUGUGACCACUUUUGCACACUUACCUCUAUUAAAGACCCCUCGACUAUAGCUAACACUUUUUUAGAAAGGAUUUUUUUUUUCUUUCACUGUGAACCAUAGUGUCUCAGACUGAACAACAGAUAAUAAUUUUCCUUCUAUUUCUUAAGGCACUAAAUAGAAUAAAAUAUGAUCUAGUGUCAUGGUGCUUUUCUGGCAAGAAUAAUCUAGACCAGGCAGCUUUCCUAUGGAGAAGAGCGCAAAAAACAGCCCAGAAAGAAAGCAGUCGAUCCGCAUUAUUAGUUUGCCUUCAGAAAUACCUUUUAAUGCAGUGUCCCACACGACACCCGCCCUCUCAACAUAACCGCAUCCGUCCCGCGGCAGCCUAGCGCCGUGGCACGAAGCUGUUGGAAGCUCCACUCCGGCGCUUUGCCGCUGGGCUCAGCAGCGGCAGAGGAGGGGCUGCUGCGGGCAAGAAGGGGCUGGGAGCGCCGAGCCGUCCUCCUGCGCCCAGUUCGCACGGCGCGUCUCCUUCACGAGCGUUCCGGCGGCCACUCGGUCCCACGCAGCCUCUGCCUGCCUGGCCCCCUCCCGCCGGGCAGAAAUCCUCCUCCUUCAUUCCCCUGGCCCCGCAGGACAACAGUCACCGCCCUGCAGAGCUGCGGGGACAGCAUGCAGCCGGCGCUCGCUUUCGGGAGGCACGUUAAGGAAGCGUUAAAACCCGGGGGAAGUGAAGAGACUGGAAGCUGAAAGUCUCGGAGAGGCUUUUUUUUUUCCUUCCACAGCUCUCCCGGAGGAGAGUAUCUCUUUUAACAGCCAAUUUCAAAGUCACAAUUACCUGUUCCUUUUUAGAUAGGCAAGGAGGACGUUUUCUCCCAGCUAAGAAUUAGCCCCCUAAGGAGCAAACGCACCCGUUGCGCCUAUGCCUACAAGUGCCUAUACAGUUAUCACAUCGCACCCCACGUGCCUUCCGCAUCUAAACCAGCUGCUGUGCUACACCAGUUUGGAACUGCUAGAAGGGCACUAUGAUACUGUGCUUCUGCCACAAUGCCAGGAGACAGGGAAGGCUGGAAACCCUCUCUCAAGCCCUAGUAAAACAGCACAGACAGAAUCUCCAUGAGCAAGGAGCCCUCCGGCUCCUUGUGCGAGACAAGCUUUCGGGUGCCUGGGAGUUCCUGCGUGCCCCGUCUCAGGGAGGCUGCUGCCAGAAAUCUGUCGCGGACAGUGGCAUCGUGCCGGCAGCACACGUGGCUGCGCGCGGGAGGCAGAGGUGGCACCUCCCCGCUCCCCUCCACGCCCCGCUGCGGAGGGCGAGGGUGCGUAAAGAGACGUCAUCAGUGCCCGGUGGAGCAGGGUCUAAGGACAGCUUCGGGUACGGGCGAGCGCGGCUGGGAGGAAGCCUCCCGCCAUCACCCGAAGAGCGCUGUCAGCAGGAGCAGGCUGCAAACGCUGCUACUCGGGAUUGCGGAAGGCUCCUCACCAAGAGCAUCUUUUCGCUACACAUCAAGGAACAGUAGCGGGCAGUCGAUGCUGAGGAACCACUGCCAGGUAGGCUCAAGGAAGAACUACGCUCUCUUGGCAAAUGAGCAAAGCCUGCGACAACAGCCGCGCCGGCUGGGAAAGACGUGGGACCUGCAGCCCCACAGGACGGCAGGAAGAUCACGUCCCAGCAGCUCACAGACCGGUACCGGCUCGCAGCACCGGACACGGUAGGGCGCAGCUAAGGCGAGCCGUGGCGGGGCAGCCGGCUGGCACUCGUUCCUCCGAGGAGCACAAACCCGCCGAGGAGCCCAGCCACGAUCCACCGCGGCCGGCCGGGAGCCGGCGGGCAGCAGCGCUCACUAGCGGCCGCUCCGACCCGCUUCCAGCACGGCUUUCGGGCUGCAGCGCCGGGGGUUGACGGGAGACUCUUCCGACUUGUGCCCGUCUGUUUUCCUCACAACCGCCCUGCUUCCCACCCAAGUUUUUAUACGGGUACUCUAACGCACUGCUUCCUAAGCGGGACGGAGUAGUCAGCACUCCUUAUUCAUACUGAAAAGACAAAGUAAAUGACAAGUGCUCAGUUCGUAUGCUAAGCAGUUACACAAAGUUUUAAAAAGACUCAAGAAACAGACCCUAAAAGUGUUUGCGCUCAAACAAGCAUUCCUCAAAAAGAAUUCCAGAAGCAUUGUUUGUAUCAUUUCGUACAGACACAUACAUACAACGUAUCUAAUUCAGUGUUAAAUAAACGCAGUAUUUGGCAGA